rnacentral:rRNA from 1 species
UACGUAGGUGGCAAGCGUUGUCCGGAAUUAUUGGGCGUAAAGCGCGCGCAGGCGGUCCCUUAAGUCUGAUGUGAAAGCCCACGGCUCAACCGUGGAGGGUCAUUGGAAACUGGAGGACUUGAGUACAGAAGAGGAAAGCGGAAUUCCACGUGUAGCGGUGAAAUGCGUAGAGAUGUGGAGGAACACCAGUGGCGAAGGCGGCUUUCUGGUCUGUAACUGACGCUGAGGCGCGAAAGCGUGGGGAGCAAACAGG